AGGCCUUCGGGUCGUAAAGUUCUGUUGUUAGAGAAGAACAAGUACGAGAGUAACUGCUCGUACCUUGACGGUACCUAACCAGAAAGCCACGGCUAACUACGUGCCAGCAGCCGCGGUAAUACGUAGGUGGCAAGCGUUGUCCGGAAUUAUUGGGCGUAAAGCGCGCGCAGGCGGUUCCUUAAGUCUGAUGUGAAAGCCCACGGCUCAACCGUGGAGGGUCAUUGGAAACUGGGGAACUUGAGUGCAGAAGAGGAGAGCGGAAUUCCACGUGUAGCGGUGAAAUGCGUAGAGAUGUGGAGGAACACCAGUGGCGAAGGCGGCUCUCUGGUCUGUAACUGACGCUGAGGCGCGAAAGCGUGGGGAGUAAACAGGAUUAGAUACCCUGGUAGUCCACGCCGUAAACGAUGAGUGCUAAGUGUUAGAGGGUUUCCGCCCUUUAGUGCUGCAGUUAACGCAUUAAGCACUCCGCCUGGGGAGUACGGUCGCAAGACUGAAACUCAAAGGAAUUGACGGGGGCCCGCACAAGCGGUGGAGCAUGUGGUUUAAUUCGAAGCAACGCGAAGAACCUUACCAGGUCUUGACAUCCUCUGACAACCCUAGAGAUAGGGCGUUCCCCUUCGGGGGACAGAGUGAMARGUGGUGCAUGGUUGUCGUCAGCUCGUGUCGUGAGAUGUUGGGUUAAGUCCCGCAACSMGCGCAACCCUUGAUCUUAGUUGCCAG
rnacentral:rRNA from 1 species